GAUGAACGCUGGCGGCGUGCCUAAUACAUGCAAGUCGAGCGAACGGACGAGAAGCUUGCUUCUCUGAUGUUAGCGGCGGACGGGUGAGUAACACGUGGAUAACCUACCUAUAAGACUGGGAUAACUUCGGGAAACCGGAGCUAAUACCGGAUAAUUUUUUGAACCGCAUGGUUCAAAAGUGAAAGACGGUCUUGCUGUCACUUAUAGAUGGAUCCGCGCUGCAUUAGCUAGUUGGUAAGGUAACGGCUUACCAAGGCAACGAUGCAUAGCCGACCUGAGAGGGUGAUCGGCCACACUAGAACUGAGACACGGUCCAGACUCCAACGGGAGGCAGCAGUAGGGAAUCUUCCGCAAUGGGCGAAAGCAUGACGAAGCAACGCCGAGUGAGUGAUGAAGGUCUUCGGAUCGUACAACUCUGUUAUUAGGGAAGAACAUAUGUGUAAGUAACUGUGCACAUCUUGACGGUACCUAAUCAGAAAGCCACGGCUAACUACGUG
rnacentral:rRNA from 1 species